AUCCAGUUGAUGAGUCUCAAAUAGGACGAAAAAUGAGUCCUAGAU
rnacentral:hammerhead_ribozyme from 1 species